UACGGGGGGGGCAAGCGUUGUUCGGAAUUACUGGGCGUAAAGGGCUCGUAGGUGGCCAACUAAGUCAGACGUGAAAUCCCUCGGCUUAACCUGGGAACUGCGUUUGAUACGGAUGGGCUAGAGUUCGGGAGAGGAGAGUGGAAUUCCCAGUGUAGAGGUGAAAUUCGUAGAUAUUGGGAAGAACACCGGUGGCGAAGGCGGCUCUCUGGACCGAGACUGACGCUGAGGCGCGAAAGCGUGGGGAGCAAACAGG
rnacentral:rRNA from 1 species